rnacentral:lncRNA from 1 species
UAUGGAGCUACCUGUGCCCCUGCCCUGUUCUUGCCCUGGGUCAUCCUGCACUCAGUGUUGACUUUGUGGCAUCUACUGAAAUACUUUCAGAAGGCAGAUACAUGGUUGAUGGAGCUGGGGUUGCCUGUCUCACUGACAGAAUGGUCAGAAUUCAGCCACUUAGAACCAGCAACUAGCCUACUUUUACUUGCUUUAAAAGGAAUCAAGACUCUUUGGGCUUCCAUGGAAAUAAGAUUUGUACCAUAUGUCUAAGUUGUGCAUGCCAAGGAUAAUGGAAACAAGACUGGCGAGGGGAGGCAUGGGUAGGACUUAAAAAUUCCAGAGGUCUGCAAAGGUUUCUUCUCAG